AUUGAACGCUGGCGGUAGGCCUAACACAUGCAAGUCGAACGCGAAAGUCCUUCGGGAUGAGUAGAGUGGCGGACGGGUGAGUAACGCGUAGGAAUCUGUCCUGUAGUGGGGGAUAACGUUUCGAAAGGAACGCUAAUACCGCAUACGCCCUACGGGGAAAGCGGGGGAGUCUUCGGACCUCGUGCUAGAGGAGGAGCCUGCGUCGGAUUAGCUAGUUGGUGAGGUAAAGGCUCACCAAGGCGACGAUCCGUAGCUGGUCUGAGAGGAUGAUCAGCCACACCGGAACUGAGACACGGUCCGGACUCCUACGGGAGGCAGCAGUGGGGAAUAUUGCGCAAUGGGCGAAAGCCUGACGCAGCCAUACCGCGUGUGUGAAGAAGGCCUUCGGUU
rnacentral:rRNA from 1 species